rnacentral:rRNA from 1 species
UACGGGGGGGGCAAGCGUUGUUCGGAAUUACUGGGCGUAAAGGGCUUGUAGGUGGCCAACUAAGUCAGACGUGAAAUCCCUCGGCUUAACCGGGGAACUGCGUCCGAUACUGGAUGGCUUGAAUCCGGGAGAGGGAUGCAGAAUUCCAGGUGUAGCGGUGAAAUGCGUAGAUAUCUGGAGGAAUACCGGUGGCGAAGGCGGCAUCCUGGACCGGCAUUGACGCUGAGGAGCGAAAGCCAGGGGAGCAAACGGG